UGUUUAACGGCCGCGGUAUUUUGACCGUGCAAAGGUAGCGCAAUCAAUUGUCUUUUAAAUGAAGACCUGUAUGAAUGGCACAACGAGGGCUAAACUGUCUCCUUCUUUUAGUCAAUGAAAUUGAUCUUCCCGUGCAGAAGCGGGAAUAAAUACAUAAGACGAGAAGACCCUAUGGAGCUUAAAACGCAAGGAUAGAUCAUGUUACUCACCCUAAAUAAACAGGCCAAGCCAACUGCCUACUAUCCUAAUGUUUUUGGUUGGGGCGACCGCGGGGUAAAGAAAACCCCCCACGCAGAACGAAAAUACGCAUUUUCUAAUUCAAGGGAAACAACCCUAAAAAACAGAACCUCUGACUUUUUGAUCCGGUUUUACCGAUCAACGAACCGAGUUACCCUAGGGAUAACAGCGCAAUCUUCUUUUAGAGCCCAUAUCGACAAGAGGGUUUACGACCUCGAUGUUGGACCAGGACAUCCUAAUGGUGCAGCCGCUAUUAAGGGUUCGUUUGUUCAACGAUUAAAGUCCU
rnacentral:rRNA from 1 species